UGCAGGAUACGGGCCGGGAGCCGGGUUAUUACGAUCUGAUCGUGACCGGAGACCUGGCGGGCGUCGGCCAUCCGAUCGCGGCGGAGAUUCUGGAGC
rnacentral:tRNA from 1 species